rnacentral:rRNA from 1 species
UACGUAGGUGGCAAGCGUUGUCCGGAUUUACUGGGCGUAAAGGGCGUGCAGGCGGUUUGUUAAGUCUAGGGUGAAAGCUCCCGGCUCAACUGGGAGAGGUCCUUGGAUACUGGCAGACUUGAGGAGGGUAGAGGAGAGUGGAAUUCCCGGUGUAGUGGUGAUAUGCGUAGAUAUCGGGAGGAACACCAGUGGCGAAGGCGGUUCUCUGGGCCUGUACUGACGCUGAGGAGCGAAAGCGUGGGGAGCGAACAGG